GUUGGCUACUGUGAGAAGAAGGAAGAGUCAGUGCUUACAGGAGAUGCCUAUGAGAAACAUCAAGGAGCAUCAUUGCAGCACUGAGUCACCUGUUUGGUAUCCAAGACAGAAUCUGAUCUGAAACAUCUUUAACAGUUUAUGGGGAGUUCUGUAACCAUGAGCACACUGGGAGGGAUAAGAAUCAGAAAGAGGAGAAAAAGAGCACACAGCAUAGAGAAUCAUUUUGCAGUUGACAUUCUAACAAGGGGAUGACAGCCAGGCACCAUUUAAAGCAACAAAACUGUUCAGGAGACAUUGUGCACAGCAGAAGAGCUGUGUAUGUGUAUGUAGUUAAUGCAUGCAAAUAAGAACUGAAGAUUGAUCCCUUUUCCAUUAUCUAUGAAACUCAGAUAACCAUUUCCUUUAAACAAUUAGAUAAAAUCGGUA